AUUUAGUUUGAAUUUUAUCAUCUGAUGUAGAUAUCUAUGGUUACGUGAUUGUGUGAAUUGCAUCGUGAUCGAUUUAUGGAGUUUGUUAGGUGAAUGCAAUACUAUUGAUGCUAAACAUAGUUUUUGGAAGUGGAAGUCCUUUCCAGAAUGUUGAACUUGCUUUCUUUUAUGGUGUUGGGGAAGCAGUUAUGUGUUAAAGAGAAGCAGUUAGAUGUGAGAUGCAAAUGACACACGAAGAAUGGAGCACUACCUAAGAUGACAGUCACAUCGACAAGUGGCUACAACGUUGAUUAAGCAGUUCCAUUUGUUAACCUUCUGGGGUAGCCCAGUUGGCCAGCCUCACCCAGCCUCUUCUUGAGGUCACCGGUUCGAUUCCCGGCAAUGCCCUAAUGGGGUGUUGGGGCUCUUCACCGUGGGUAAUCACCGUCAGGCAGCUAUGGGGCUAAGCUAGCUUGCAGAGUUGCAAUACUCCGGCGGAUGGGAGGUCCGUGCAACUACCCCCCCUCCAUUUGUUGAGUGGGUCUGGAUAGGCCAUAGCCCAGAACAAUCGCGGAAUCGCCUGCUGGAAGAUUUACAUUUACACGUGGCAACAUAUUUGGUAUAGUAAUUCUUCAAGGCGUCAACCUUUUCUUUCUGUAUGGCGUGGCAAUUGCAGGUUAGAUUAAGGGCGGGAUUAGGUGUAAUCAAUGUCGUUCUCAAGGAUAACGUAGCUACUGAGACAUGGCCGAUUUAGACGGGAUGAUAUUUGUAGACACUUUUACAGGGUUGCUUUACCCGUUUCUACUUGCUUUGGUCAACUCAAGUUGGGUGUAUGGAAACAAAGGUUGUACAUGUGCAUUUGUAGCUGUACAUGUUUGACCCAUAUCAUGAAUUAGGUAUAAUGUAAUAUGGUAUCUAUUUAAAUUGUUUAUCAAGUAUUGCUAAAGUUUGAAACACUUGAUGAAAGGAACACUUUUAAUGCACUUAUGCAAUGAAAGAUGUAUAUUGUUAAUUUGAGAUUAAUAAAAAAUCAUUAGCUGUGAAGCAUGAGUAAGUUGGACACAAUUCUGAUCUCUUAUUACCAAAUUUUAGGGGGUCCCCUUGGAUAAGCAUAGCCAACGC
rnacentral:lncRNA from 1 species